rnacentral:rRNA from 1 species
CCUACGGGAGGCAGCAGUGAGGAAUAUUGGUCAAUGGGCGGGAGCCUGAACCAGCCAAGUCGCGUGAAGGAAGAAGGAUCUAUGGUUCGUAAACUUCUUUUGCAGGGGAAUAAAGUGCAGGACGUGUCCUGUUUUGUAUGUAC